GACGAACUUUGGCGGCGUGCUUAACACAUGCAAGUCGAACGGAAAGGCCCUGCUUUUGUGGGGUGCUCGAGUGGCGAACGGGUGAGUAACACGUGAGUAACCUGCCCUUGACUUUGGGAUAACUUCAGGAAACUGGGGCUAAUACCGGAUAGGAGCUCCUGCUGCAUGGUGGGGGUUGGAAAGUUUCGGCGGUUGGGGAUGGACUCGCGGCUUAUCAGCUUGUUGGUGGGGUAGUGGCUUACCAAGGCUUUGACGGGUAGCCGGCCUGAGAGGGUGACCGGCCACAUUGGGACUGAGAUACGGCCCAGACUCCUACGGGAGGCAGCAGUGGGGAAUAUUGCACAAUGGGCGGAAGCCUGAUGCAGCAACGCCGCGUGCGGGAUGACGGCCUUCGGGUUGUAAACCGCUUUCGCCUGUGACGAAGCGUGAGUGACGGUAAUGGGUAAAGAAGCACUGGCUAACUACGUGCCAGCAGCCGCGGUGAUACGUAGGGUGCGAGCGUUGUCCGGAUUUAUUGGGCGUAAAGGGCUCGUAGGUGGUUGAUCGCGUCGGAAGUGUAAUCUUGGGGCUUAACCCUGAGCGUGCUUUCGAUACGGGUUGACUUGAGGAAGGUAGGGGAGAAUGGAAUUCCUGGUGGAGCGGUGGAAUGCGCAGAUAUCAGGAGGAACACCAGUGGCGAAGGCGGUUCUCUGGGCCUUUCCUGACGCUGAGGAGCGAAAGCGUGGGGAGCGAACAGGCUUAGAUACCCUGGUAGUCCACGCUGUAAACGGUGGGUACUAGGUGUGGGGUCCAUUCCACGGGUUCCGUGCCGUAGCUAACGCUUUAAGUACCCCGCCUGGGGAGUACGGCCGCAAGGCUAAAACUCAAAGGAAUUGACGGGGCCCCGCACAAGCGGCGGAGCAUGCGGAUUAAUUCGAUGCAACGCGUAGAACCUUACCUGGGUUUGACAUGGAUCGGGAGUGCUCAGAGAUGGGUGUGCCUCUUUUGGGGUCGGUUCACAGGUGGUGCAUGCCUGUCGUCAGCUCGUGUCGUGAGAUGUUGGGUUAAGUCCCGCAACGAGCGCAACCCUUGUUCACUGUUGCCAGCACGUUAUGGUGGGGACUCAGUGGAGACCGCCGGGGUCAACUCGGAGGAAGGUGGGGAUGACGUCAAGUCAUCAUGCCCCUUAUGUCCAGGGCUUCACGCAUGCUACAAUGGCUGGUACAGAGAGUGGCGAGCCUGUGAGGGUGAGCGAAUCUCGGAAAGCCGGUCUCAGUUCGGAUUGGGGUCUGCAACUCGAUCUCAUGAAGUCGGAGUCGCUAGUAAUCGCAGAUCAGCAACGCUGCGGUGAAUACGUUCCCGGGGCU
rnacentral:rRNA from 1 species